rnacentral:rRNA from 1 species
GUGGGGAAUAUUGGACAAUGGGCGAAAGCCUGAUCCAGCCAUGCCGCGUGUGUGAAGAAGGCCUUUUGGUUGUAAAGCACUUUAAGCGAGGAGGAGGCUACUUAGAUUAAUACUCUAGGAUAGUGGACGUUACUCGCAGAAUAAGCACCGGCUAACUCUGUGCCAGCAGCCGCGGUAAUACAGAGGGUGCGAGCGUUAAUCGGAUUUACUGGGCGUAAAGCGUGCGUAGGCGGUUUCUUAAGUCGGAUGUGAAAUCCCUGAGCUUAACUUAGGAAUUGCAUUCGAUACUGGGAAGCUAGAGUAUGGGAGAGGAUGGUAGAAUUCCAGGUGUAGCGGUGAAAUGCGUAGAGAUCUGGAGGAAUACCGAUGGCGAAGGCAGCCAUCUGGCCUAAUACUGACGCUGAGGUACGAAAGCAUGGGGAGCAAACAGG